rnacentral:rRNA from 1 species
CCUACGGGCGGCAGCAGUGGGGAAUAUUGGGCAAUGGAGGAAACUCUGACCCAGCAACGCCGCGUGAAGGAUGAAGUUUUUCGGAUUUUAAACUUCUGUCGCGAGGGACGAAGAAUGACGGUACCUCGUAAGCAAGCACCGGCUAACUACGGACCAGCAGCCGCGGUAAUACGUAGGGGGCGAGCGUUGGCCGGAAUGACUGGGCGUAAGGGGAGUGUAGGCGGCAAUAUAAGUGAGAUGUGUAAUCCCGCGGUUCAACCGCGGACCUGCAUUUAAAACUAUAUAGCUGGAGUGCAGGAGAGGUAAGUGGAAUUCCUAGUGUAGCGGUGGAAUGCGUAGAUAUUAGGAGGAACACCAGAGGCGAAGGCGACUCACUGGACUGUAACUGACGCUGAGGCUCGAAAGCGUGGGGAGCAAACAGGAUUAGAUACCCGGGUAGUC